rnacentral:rRNA from 1 species
GAUGAACGCUAGCGGCAGGCCUAAUACAUGCAAGUCGAACGAUAGUCUUGUCUUCGGAUGAGAUGAGAGUGGCGCACGGGUGAGUAACGCGUACACGACCUACCUUACAGAGGGGGAUAGCCUUGGGAAACUGGGAGUAAUCCGCCAUAGUGUAUAUGAUCUGCAUGGAUGGUAUACUAAAGCUUCGGCGCUGUAAGAUGGGUGUGCGUCUGAUUAGGUAGUUGGUAGGGUAAGGGCCUACCAAGGCGACGAUCAGUAGGGGGCGUGAGAGCGUGAUCCCCCACACGGGUACUGAGACACGGUCCCGACUCCUACGGGGGGCAGCAGUGAGGAAUAUUGGGCAAUGGGCGCAAGCCUGACCCAGCAACGCCGCGUGGAGGAAGACGGCC